ensembl:lncRNA RCAN2-DT RCAN2 divergent transcript
UGGAGCAUUUUCAUGGAAAAGGCAGUUCCAGGAUUCUUUGUGGCCUCUUCCACAGGAGAAAGUAAAGGAGCUAGAGGCCUCUAAAAAUUUAGUUAUUGAAGAACUGAAGUUAUUCACAGCAACCUGGCAGAAGAGAAUGUGAAAUACGUGGGUCUCAGGUAAUAGGUAAUAUCCCUAAUUCCACGGUGAUGCUGAGAAGCAGAGGGCGCCCUCAGAAGUAGUUUCUCUUAAGGAAUUUGCAGCUGGCCUACAAGAACAGGACCACAGAAUCAGGUCCUGUAAAAGGCUAUAGGAUGCCGAAAAGAAGUAUCUUUCUACUUGACCAAGGAUAGGUGGCAACUACGGUCAGUUUGUGUUUGAAAUCAGAUCUGUGAAAAUCCAAGAGACUCCACAGUGACCUACAUAUUGCAUAAUUCUGGUCUUGGAAAAGUUUGGACUCUAGUAAUGGUGAAGUUCUUGACCUCCUUCAGAAAAACAUUUUUGGAUAAAGUACUCUUAGUAAGUUAAAAAGGGUAAAA